rnacentral:tRNA from 1 species
GCUUGGGCUCAGUGGCAGAGCACUUGCCUGGCAUGUAUGAGGCCCCGAGUUCGAUCCUCAGCACUGCA